GCCUGGGUGGCUCAGUGGGUUAAGCCUUUGACUUCGGCUCAGGUCAUGAUCUUGUGGUUUACAGGUUCAAGCCCUGUGUCGGGCU
rnacentral:tRNA from 1 species